rnacentral:rRNA from 1 species
UACAGAGGCCUCGAGCGUUAUGCGGAAUCACUGGGCUUAAAGCGUGUGUAGGCGGAUUGCUAAGUACCUUGUGAAAUCCCACGGCUUAACCGUGGAACUGCUUGGUAUACUGGCUGUCUUGAGCCACUUAGGGGCGACCGGAACAAACGGUGGAGCGGUGAAAUGCGUAGAUAUCGUUUGGAACGCCAAAGGUGAAAACAGGUCGCUGGGAGUGUGCUGACGCUGAGACACGAAAGCCAGGGGAGCAAACGGG